ACUCCUACGGGAGGCAGCAGUGGGGAAUUUUGGACAAUGGGCGAAAGCCUGAUCCAGCAAUGCCGCGUGAGUGAAGAAGGCCUUCGGGUUGUAAAGCUCUUUUGUCAGGGAAGAAACGGUGAAAGCUAAUAUCUUUUGCUAAUGACGGUACCUGAAGAAUAAGCACCGGCUAACUACGUGCCAGCAGCCGCGGUAAUACGUAGGGUGCAAGCGUUAAUCGGAAUUACUGGGCGUAAAGCGUGCGCAGGCGGUUUUGUAAGUCUGAUGUGAAAUCCCCGGGCUCAACCUGGGAAUUGCAUUGGAGACUGCAAGGCUAGAAUCUGGCAGAGGGGGGUAGAAUUCCACGUGUAGCAGUGAAAUGCGUAGAUAUGUGGAGGAACACCGAUGGCGAAGGCAGCCCCCUGGGUCAAGAUUGACGCUCAUGCACGAAAGCGUGGGGAGCAAACAGGAUUAGAAACCCCUGUAGUCCCAUGA
rnacentral:rRNA from 1 species